CACACCAUUUUGCCCUGGCCGGAAGUAGUAUCGUCCUUUUACCUAACACGGUACGACUUGUCGUGUUGCAGUGCAGAGGUUUCCCCCAACAUCUGAGAAACUCAAGCUGGAAAUCAACUAUUUCUAGCUUGAAUUUCGUUAAACAUUUUAAAGGGUCCAUAAUAAUAAGUAAUAGAUGAACUGGAUGCUUUAAUCAGGUCGGAUAGCGAAUGUUACUGUCGUGAUCAGUGUUUCGUGGAUAAUAGAUUUCUCACUCGGGUGACACCAUGGAAGAUGCACACACGAGGACAGUUGAAGAAGUGUUAGAACAGUUUAAGGUUGAUGAGGAAAGCGGAUUAACUGAUGAACAAGUCAAGAAAGGACUUGAAAAAUAUGGACCAAAUGCUUUACCGGCAGAGGAGGGUAAACCUUUAUGGGAGCUGAUAUUGGAACAGUUUGAUGAUCUGCUGGUCAAAAUUCUUCUCCUGGCUGCUAUUAUUUCCUUUGUUUUAGCCUGGUUUGAAGAAAGUGAAGACCAAGUAACGGCCUUUGUGGAGCCCUUUGUAAUCUUGACAAUUCUUAUAUGUAAUGCAGUUGUAGGAGUCUGGCAGGAGAGAAAUGCUGAGAGUGCUAUUGAGGCCCUGAAGGAAUAUGAACCCGAGAUUGCCAAGGUGAUCAGAAAGAGUGGAAGAGGAGUUCAAAGAAUCAAGGCAGUGAAUCUGGUACCUGGAGAUAUCUGUGAAAUCUCAGUUGGAGAUAAAGUUCCAGCAGACAUAAGGAUUUCCACCAUCCAUUCCACCACACUCCGAGUAGAUCAAUCUAUUUUAACUGGUGAAAGUGUUAGUGUAAUCAAACAUACUGACCCAAUUCCUGAUGUGAGAGCGGUAAACCAGGACAAGAAGAAUAUUCUCUUCUCUGGAACAAAUAUAUCGGCAGGAAAAUGCAGGGGUAUUGUAAUUGGAACCGGACUGAACACAGAAAUCGGAAAGAUCCGGGAUGAGAUGAUGGAUACAGAGACGGAGAAGACGCCUCUUCAGCAGAAAUUGGAUGAAUUCAGUCAGCAACUUUCUAAGGUGAUUACAGUUAUUUGUGUAGCUGUGUGGGCCAUUAACAUUGGGCAUUUUAACGACCCCGCCCACGGAGGAUCAUGGAUCAAGGGAGCUAUCUACUACUUCAAGAUUGCGGUGGCUUUGGCUGUAGCAGCUAUUCCAGAGGGUCUGCCUGCUGUCAUCACUACGUGUCUUGCUCUCGGAACCCGAAGAAUGGCCAAAAAGAAUGCUAUUGUGAGAAGUCUUCCAUCUGUGGAAACCCUUGGAUGUACCUCUGUCAUCUGUUCAGACAAAACCGGAACCCUGACUACAAACCAGAUGUCUGUGUGCAGGAUGUUUUUGUUCAACAAGAUUGAGGGAAAUGACAUCAAGACUGACCAGUUUGAAAUCACUGGUUCCACAUACUCCCCCGAUGGAGAUCUGUAUGUUGGCAGCAAGAAGGUGAAAGCCUCUGAAUACCCUGGACUUGAGGAACUGGCUACUAUCUGUAUCAUGUGUAAUGACUCCAGUGUGGACUAUAAUGAGACAAAGGACAUAUAUGAGAAGGUAGGAGAAGCCACUGAGACUGCCCUUGUUGUUCUGGCCGAGAAGAUGAACUAUUACAACACCGACAAAAGCAACCUGAGCAAGCGUGAGAAAGGAACAGCCGCUGCCCAUGUCAUUCAGCAGAUGUGGAAGAAAGAGUUCACUCUAGAGUUCUCCCGUGACAGGAAAUCCAUGAGUGUGUACUGCUCCCCCAACAAACCCUCCAAAACUGGAGGGGCCAAGAUGUUCUGCAAGGGUGCCCCUGAAGGUCUUUUGGACAGAUGUACCCAUGCCCGUGUUCAAGGAAGCAAAAUACCAAUGUCACCUGCCAUCAAGAACGAAAUCAUGAAACACGUUAAGUCUUAUGGAACUGGUCGGGACACACUCAGGUGUCUUGCUUUGGCCACCAUUGAUAACCCACCAAGGAGAGAGGAUAUGGACUUGGAAGACUCCAGAAAAUUCAUUCAGUAUGAGACAAACAUGACUUUUGUUGGAGUUGUUGGAAUGUUGGAUCCACCCCGUAAAGAAGUGAUGUCCUCCAUCAAGGAAUGCAGAGAUGCUGGUAUCCGAGUCAUCGUCAUCACUGGAGACAACAAGGCAACUGCUGAGGCUAUCUGCAGGAGGAUUGGAGUUUUCGGAGAAAAUGAAUCUACCGAGGGACUGUCCUACACUGGGCGUGAGUUUGAUGACUUGUCUUCAGAGGAACAGAGAGCAGCAGUCAUGAGAGCGAGGCUGUUUGCCAGAGUAGAGCCAACACACAAGAGCAAGAUCGUGGAACAUUUACAGGCUGAAGGAGAAGUCUCGGCUAUGACAGGUGAUGGUGUGAAUGAUGCCCCUGCCCUGAAGAAGGCUGAGAUCGGUAUUGCUAUGGGAUCAGGAACUGCUGUGGCCAAGUCAGCAUCAGAGAUGGUGCUGGCCGACGACAACUUCUCCACCAUUGUGGCUGCUGUAGAGGAAGGUCGUGCCAUCUACAACAACAUGAAACAGUUUAUCCGAUACCUUAUCUCUUCCAACAUUGGAGAAGUUGUCUGUAUUUUCCUGACUGCUGCCCUUGGAAUUCCCGAGGCUUUGAUCCCUGUCCAGCUGCUGUGGGUCAACUUGGUCACUGAUGGUUUCCCAGCAACUGCCCUUGGAUUUAACCCACCUGACCUUGACAUCAUGAAGAAACCUCCCAGAAACUCCAAGGAAGGCCUUAUCACUGGAUGGCUCUUCUUCAGAUACAUGGCUAUUGGAAUAUAUGUUGGCUGUGCUACUGUUGGUGCUGCCGCCUGGUGGUUCAUGGUGUAUGACCAAGGCCCACAACUCAACUACUACCAAUUAACUCAUCAUAUGCAAUGUCCAGCAGAACCGGGAAUGUUUAAGGAUGUAGACUGUCAUAUAUUCAAUGACCCUCAUCCUAUGACAAUGGCUUUAUCAGUCUUAGUCACAAUAGAAAUGCUGAAUGCUCUCAACAGCUUGAGUGAGAACCAGUCCCUGCUGGUGAUGCCACCCUGGUCUAACAAGUGGCUGAUUGCCGCCAUCGCUCUGUCCAUGGGGCUGCACUUCUUUAUCCUGUAUGUGGACUUCAUGGCGAUGCGUUACAUAAUGUCAACCAUUUUCCAGAUUACUCCUCUUAACGUGGCUGAGUGGAUUGCUGUAUUGAAGAUCUCUUUCCCUGUUAUAAUUUUGGACGAAACUCUCAAGUUUAUCGCCCGCAAAUUUACUGACGGUAAUUCUUCCGUUGUUCUAGAAUUAUCAGUCUUGGUGGGUGUGUGGGCUGCCUAUUUAGGAAUGAUGCUCUGUUUCACUAUUUGAUGAUGGAGAGACAUAAGUUCCCAUAGCUUACACAUCCCUUUUUUUUCUCUACCCCAUUAACAUGAGCAUUGACAUGUGAUAACAUCCCACAUAGUGAAUCUUCAUUAAUUAGAAUUUUGCAUCAACUGUUAGCCUCUCAUUGUUAGCAAAUGAAGUGAGGAUAUAUUAAGAGCACCAAGAUCAUAUUGUAGGGACCUCUACAGAGAGAUGUUUCCAUUGUAAUUGUUAAAUAUUUUUGGUCUAGCAUCACCAUUUCCCCAUUUUAUUACAAGUUUGUACAUUUAUAUCUCAUAUAUUCUGAGUUAGAGAACUGUCUUUCAUCUCUAAGAAUCGGAUACGUCUAGCAUGUGCUAGGUAUGGUAAUAAUCUCAUUGUAGAAGAGAACAAGGCCAUGUCAGACUUGUCCAUAUUUGAUGUGUUUUGUAAUGCAGAGUCCUACACAAAUCCAAGCUUAGAUUUGUAUGAUCAAAAACAGUUAUGCCAUUUAUCAACUAAAAUGUUAAGUGAGAUCAUUUAAUGUCCCUCAUUGAUAUUUGUGUCUUUGUGAAGUAUUUUUGUUGAUUGGGAAUGCAAUGAAGUGUGUAGUAAUGUGCAUGGAUUCGUAUUGUGCUACCUUCAUUUUGUCACUUCAUCUCAAAAUAGCAAAAAAAAAAAAAAAAAAGAAAUAAGUUAAAAUCAAAAUUUGUUUGUCAUAACAGAAAAUGGAAGUGAGACAAAUUGCCAUAACUAAUGAUCUAAAUUUGAUUUUCUAGCUGAUACACCCAAUUUCCGAUCUUUAGAUAAAAUUGUAGUUUCUGAGACUGCAUGCUCCUGCACCUCUUACCAUCCAUCUGUGAUGGCCACUAGUUUGCUGUAGUGCCCUCUAGACUAAGCUUGGGUUUCUGUGUUCCUGCAUCCCCAAUGGAGAUUGAUCCAUGUGGAUGAAUUUUCAUUGUUUUACCGCUGUAUGUUAAUAAAUACAUAUACCUAUUUCACCUAAUUUUUGUAAUGGGUGUGUUAUGCAUUUCACUGCAUUGCUGACUAAUGUAAUUUGAUAAAAAAAGAUAAACAGUUUUUUAUUUCAAGUUAGAUUGUCUUGAUAUGAUGAAUCUUCUUCACUUUCUUGUCACAUGAUUUUAUAACAUAUAACCAGCAUAUCUCUCUGUAUUAAACAGUAACCAAAUACUACUGUAUCACAGGAGCAAUGUAUCAAGUACGGCAUAACUACCCACAAGGUUAACACCCCACCUUCCCUUGUACUGUAUAUUAGACAGACACAGCUGCCACAUUCAGUACUCUGGGGCUGGAUUUCACUUUUAUACCCUCCACUGGUGUUCUGCUUAUCCUAUCCAGUAUCUGUCAAAAUUUGCAAAAAAGAAAAAACUUAACCACUGAAGCGGAAUUUUUUUUUUCUGGUGAAGGUUUUUUUUUUUGUUGUUUCUUGAGUGUUUGAAUGUGGCAGUUGAGUGUAAGAUAAUCUACUGAAGUGUCAGACAAGUGUGUAUUUCUGUGUAACUGAAGCUAAAUUUUUCAGUGGAUGGUUAACUAAGCAAAGGAUAUAGACUACCCAAAUUUCUUCUGAAUUCGUUUACCCAAUCUGCGGCUUACAGUAUGACGGAUCCUGUAGUGCCAGAAUCGUUCACCUCUCUGGACGCUUUUAGACAUCAUUAGAGUGUUCCGUCCAAAAUUACUCAAUUUUAGUCUGGUUUCUUGCUACGACGCGAGCUUGAAGGGCAUGUAAAGUUUCAUUGCACGUUAGCAGACUACAGUUGAUAAUCAGUGGAUGACGUCAAAACAUGGCGGAUAAACAGUUUUCUAAAAUAGUGACAUAGUGAGCCUGUGAACCGUUUGCAGAAUGACUGUAAAUUUCAGUUGUAAAUGUAUAAUGUAUAAUUAUUGUUAUUUAUUUAACUAUAUAUGGCAUUAUUUAUCUGCUUGAGAUAGUUUAGUAACAAGUGUAGUCUUGUAUGUUUAUACUUUUUACACAUAGUUUGCUCAGAUGAGAUAAAAAAAAAAUAGCUUUUCUGUUAAAUGCUUGCCAAAUUCUUCCUACGAAGAAAGUCUUGCAGGUGUAUGUAUAUAUAAAGAAUAGGAUUUUGCAUGGGGGUAAAGUGCUGUUUGCGCAUAUUGUGACUUAUUCUGGAAGUUCGGUGAAUCGUUGACUGCAGUAUGUGACGCUCGAGUGUAGUAAAUAACUUAUAUGUUUCAUUUUUUUGUGUAUGUCGGAAAUUAAAUUUUUACGACGCAAUUUUACAGUCCAAAACUUGGAACUUGACCCGUACAAGAAAUAUAGGUAAAGGAGAGGCCCAGUCAGAGCGGAGGACAACAACUUCCGGUUUUCUGCCAGAAAAUCCGCCAUGUUUCAAAGUUUAAAAAAUAACAUUAGAAACAAUUUCGUCCGUUUAUGGAAUGAAACUCCUGGUGACCUCGGAAGAAAACUGACACAAACUUUCAGCCAGGAAAAUAUUUCGAACACUCUUGAAAAAUGAGAUACUCUUUCUUCCAGUUCAACGAAGAUGUGUGACGUGUGUGAUUCUAUAUAGUUUAGACUCCAAAUUGAUAUAUUUUAUGCAAACAUAUUUGAUCAUAGAAUGAAUGAUAAGACAGGUCAAUUUCAAUGCGAGAUAACUUGUUACAUAGAGUCGUUGUUUACUUUGUCAACAUCUCCGACUGUUGACAAAAUAAGUGACAGUUCAUUGUGUGAAUGAUGUUAGUUGCUAACAUACCGUAUUGUUUGAUUGAUGUUUUUUUUUCUAUCUCCGCAUACCCACAUUGUCUUUUCCUUAAACAACAAACUAUCUAUAUAGUUCUGAAUGUCGACACAGUGUUUCAAACUUUAAAAAUUUCAACGAGGAAUUUAAAAUCAACUUCAAGUUUGUUGUUUUGAGAGAAACCCUGUUGGAAUCAAUGUAGUCUGGUCUACAAAAUUCAAAAACUGUUAUAAUUUGUGGCAUUUAUUUAUGUAUACUAACAGCAAAUAUUUACUUUUACAAUUAUCGUAGAAACAUUCCAGAACUAUUAGUCAAAGUUUAAUUUUUACUGUGAAACGGAAGGCAGUUUGACACGUAGAAUUCGAUCAGGUAAAAGGAGUAAAUGUUUUAUCCUUCUCAUCGCUAAUUUGUUGUAUGAACCACUGAAGUCCCUGUUUGAUCCAACCCCCAUUACCUCAAGCAUUGCCAUGCGUGGCCCUUUUCAUCAUUGAACACGUGAUCGUCACAUGAUCACAAUGAUUGAUGAAGAGUGAGCCUCUAAGAGUCGGACAUGUUUGGUAGUUUAAUAUUGUUGUUUGACUGAUGUAAGUGACUCCUUGAAAUGGCAGCAUUUCCCAAGGACUGCCAGUUUCCCGUAGAAAUAAAUUUACUAUUUUGUUUGUA